CGCUGGCGGCGGGCUUAACACAUGCAAGUCGAAGGAGAAGGUAGAAGCUUGCUUUUACUGGAGACUGGCGGACGGGUGAGUAACGCGUAGAUAACCUGCCUAUAGCUGGGGGAUAACACUGCGAAAGUGGUGCUAAUACCGCAUAAUGCAGCGGGGCCGCAUGGCCAUAGUUGUUAAAGGUUUCGGCCGGCUAUAGAUGGGUCUGCGUGCUAUUAGUUAGUUGGUAGGGUAACGGCCUACCAAGGCGAUGAUAGCUAGGGGGUCUGAGAGGAUGAUCCCCCACACUGGGACUGAGACACGGCCCAGACUCCUACGGGAGGCAGCAGUGAGGAAUCUUGCGCAAUGGGCGAAAGCCUGACGCAGCCACGCCGCGUGCCGGAUGAAGGCCCUAUGGGUUGUAAACGGCUUUUACUAGGGAAGAACGAGAGGGUUUCGAUCUUCUGUGACGGUACCUAGUGAAUAAGCACCGGCUAACUCCGUGCCAGCAGCCGCGGUAAUACGGAGGGUGCAAGCGUUGUCCGGAAUCAUUGGGUGUAAAGGGUACGUAGGCGGGAGCCUAAGUCUGGGGUGAAAUCUUGCCGCUUAACGGUAAAAUGGCCCUGGAUACUGGGUUUCUUGAGUGCAGAAGAGGCAGGUGGAAUUCGUGGUGUAGCGGUGAAAUGCUUAGAUAUCACGAAGAACAUCAGUGGCGAAGGCGGCCUGCUGGUCUGCAACUGACGCUGAGGUACGAAAGCGUGGGGGAGCGAACAGGAUUAGAUACCCUGGUAGUCCACGCCGUAAACGAUGCAUACUAGGUGUUGGCCUUUGGGCCAGUGCUGCAGUUAACGCAUUAAGUAUGCCACCUGGGGAGUACGUCG
rnacentral:rRNA from 1 species